UCCUGGCUCAGAUUGAACGCUGGCGGCAUGCCUUACACAUGCAAGUCGAACGGCAGCACGGGGCAACCUGGUGGCGAGUGGCGAACGGGUGAGUAAUGCAUCGGAACGUAUCCUGUAAUGGGGGAUAACGUAGCGAAAGUUACGCUAAUACCGCAUACGCUCGAGAGAGGAAAGUGGGGGGAUCGCAAGACCUCACGUUAUAGGAGCGGCCGAUGUCCGAUUAGCUAGUUGGUGGGGUAAAGGCCUACCAAGGCGACGAUCGGUAGCUGGUCUGAGAGGAUGAUCAGCCACACUGGGACUGAGACACGGCCCAGACUCCUACGGGAGGCAGCAGUGGGGAAUUUUGGACAAUGGGCGAAAGCCUGAUCCAGCCAUGCCGCGUGAGUGACGAAGGCCUUAGGGUUGUAAAGCUCUUUUGGCGGGGACGAUAAUGACGGUACCCGCAGAAUAAGCCCCCGGCUAACUUCGUG
rnacentral:rRNA from 1 species